rnacentral:rRNA from 1 species
ACGUCAGAACUGUUUCGGUCUUCCAUCAGGGUUUCCCCUGACUUCAACCUGAUCAAGUAUAGUUCACCAUCUUUCGGGUCACAGCAUAUUUGCUCAAGGUACGUUCCAGUUAGAGGCAUAAAUAAUAUAAAUACUAUUAUACAUAACUAUAAAGAACGCCCUGGGAUUGUGUUAAUUAACUAUAAAUAGUUAAAAAACUAAUCCCAUUAUUAGUCAAGUUAAUUACGCUAUUAGGUUU